rfam:Myotis davidii contig24733, whole genome shotgun sequence.
GCCGGUGUGGCUCAGUGGUUAGAGCGCCGACCUAGGAACCAGGAGGUCCCGGGUUCGAGUCCCGGUCAAGGGCA